rnacentral:lncRNA from 1 species
CUGAGGGCUGUUUUGAGCUGAGCUUUGUUUUGGAAAGUUCUCUAGUUGAUGCCCUCUCCAGUGGUGUGCUACAUGAUAUAGAAAUUAUUUGUUAAAAUAAUUGAUAUAGAAGUUAUUUGUGUCAAAAUAAGCAAUACUAGUUUACCAGAGUCGAACAUGCACUCUUAACAAUGAACCGGUUUGAACAGUGCAGUCAACAUAAGCAGGUAAAAAGUCUGUAUCUUUCUUAUGCAUGUAAAUGUCUCUUGUCUUUGUCUAUCAUUGGGUUGGGAAUUCCUGACGUGACCAGGUUUAGUCGAGAUUUGACUAUCUCUGCUAUUGGAAGUGCCCAUGUAUUUCACAUUGUUUUCUUCAUAGUUGAAUUAUUUUUGUUA